AAACACCAGUGUUUUUUGGGACUUAGAAAAAUGUUUAACUUGUUUUUCACUUUAUUUUAGAAUGCGCUUCAUAUCCGAGUCAUAGAAGCCAAAAACCUUGUUGCCAAGGAAAUUUUAACCAAAUCAUCGAACCCUUAUGUUGUGAUAUGCGGAGGAGGAACAACAGCAAAGACAAGGGUGAUACACAAGAACUUGAAUCCAAAGUGGAAUGAGACCUUUGAGAUAUUAUAUUCUGACCUCCCAGACCAGGAGAUAGAAUUUAAUCUCAUCUCUGACAAAGGUGUUUAGAUAAACCAGCAAUUGGGCAGGUGAGUAUGUCCAUAUGUGACCCUAUCAUAACAAUAAGCAGCUGUAGAAUCUGUAGAUACAGUUUCUAACUAUUUUUCCUUUCCCAUAUCUAGUUGCAGAAUUAGAAUAAAAGAGGUGCCAGAGAGAGGAUUCAUAGACAAGUGGAUAGAUUUGGAGAACGUAAAGUCUGGCCAGCUUCAUAUCAAGGUGACACGUCUCAGGCUACUUUCAGACCCAACCCAACUGGAAGAGGUGCUGAAAGUAAACGAACAAUCUCGGCCAAAAAGAGAUAAUGAGAUUGCUUCAGCCGUUCUGUACACCUAUAUUGAAAAAGGAAGGGGUCUGCCUGUUCUACAAGUGAGUCAGAUUAAAAGUCCCUCUAACUGCCAUUCCUGUCCCUACUGCCUGUUAUUAUCUUAAUAACUUACUCGAGUAUUUAAGAUAUAAUAGGUGUAAAAUAUCUCCCAACACCAAGUUGAAAGUUUCCCUUUUUCCCAUUAUACACCAGUAUUGAUCGACAUCUGUUCUUGUCCAACAGGUGAAGAAGGACAAUCUGAAAGCGCUAGCUGUCGUGCAGGUUGGCGUUGAAGACAAUGUAAAGAAAAUUGGAGUAAGUAUUAGAAGAACUGUCCAAAUAUGUGUUACUUAUGGAGGAAGGGGAGGCGCUGAUUGGCACUUCCUUGUACCCUGUGAAAAUAUCUGUUUCAUUAAAUGGCCGUGCCAGAUUCCAUUCUGAAUACAUCUUAUUUCUAUUUACAAAGCAGAAUAAAUAACGGAGAAGCAGAGUGGAAAAAGAGGUUCCAGUUCUUGAUAAGGAACCCACUUAAUGAGGAACUGAAGCUUAAGGUUCACAAUGAACACAAUAAGCCCAUCGGAAGUAUUACUGUGCGCCUAUCUCGCCUUCUGGCUGCUUCGGAAAUGACCUUGCAGGACUGGCUGCCCCUUGAAUCAACUGAACAGAAUAGUGAAAUCCGGGUGAAAUUACAAUUGAGGGUAAGUGGCAUACACUCUAUUGUAUUAAUAUCAUCUGUGCUAGAAUAUUUUCAGCUUUAAAAGACACUGGCAUAAACAGUAACAGGGGGGAGGCAGGCCCGGGUGCAGACUGCAGCCUCUAUCCGGAAGCGUUUUUUUCAACGUUUUUCGCCGGCACAAACUGCAGGCGGGCUCACAGGGCGAGCCCUGCUAGAAUUGCACCCACUGCUCCCCCGGUAGUUCAGUCACUGGCCAUUAAAGAAACUGUCUCAUGUGUAUAUUGAUCCAGUGUUAUGUGUUUUCCCCUUAGAUUUUGACCCCUGAUGUUGGAGCUCCAUCGCCACAAGGAAAGACCAAGGCUCAAUAUAUCAAACCACGGACCAAAGUCAAGAAGCACUGAUCGUUCUUAGCCAGAAGUCAUUCUUUCUGAGAAUUUCACCACCAAUUAAUAAUUUAUUUAUAAAAAAAAAUUGAUUUUCUAGAAUUAAAAUACUGUUUAUUCAAUAUAACAUACAUUUUACAAUCAUUAGGUGACUGACAUAUGGAACAUACAGGAUCUAGGAGGCACAUUAGCUCAUAAGUUGUUGGACGUGGAAAAGUUUCAUAGCGACUUAAUGCAGUGUUGUAUUUGAAGAAAUCUAAAUAUUUCCUCUUGGGGAAUGUUAUACUGGUCACGCAAUUGUUGCACUGAGAGUAAGGGUGUCCGUUUAGUAAGGGAAUAUACUGUAGUCAGGUUGUUUUGUUUUCACCACUGGAAGGUCACACCAGAAAUCCCCGGAGGAAAGUCUGGGUUAAACAAAAAUACAGCUGGUUUAGAUGGAGAAACAAACUUAUAAGGCCAAAUCUGUGCCGUAUCUUGAGAGAAUUUGACAGAAAUCCCUAGAGGAAAGUCUGGGUUAGACAAACCCUGAGAGAAUGUGACAAUAUUGGGUGUGCCCUUAUUUAUAGAGGGAAGCGUUUAGAACAUAAGGGGGGAUGAAGCCCGUUUAGGGAUGAAAUGGGGUUAUGCAAGGCCCCCUUCCCCGUAAGGUGCAGCCCUUUUAGCCUCCUCCACCCCAUUCCCAGCUAGCCCCCAGGUAAGAACAAUGGAAAGGGGGAAAAAAGUGGGCGGGUUGGGGGUGGAAACAGAGGAGGAGCGUUGAACAGGGCAGGGGUUUUAAGAGGAUGUGGUUUGUGAAGAGUUCAUACAUAUUUGUUUUUUGUUUCCCACCCUCCCUCUCUAGGUAAGACGGAUCCAGUCGAGAAAAAGGUGCUCCAGGGUUGUUACGACCGAUCGCCUGGAUGGGGUCAAGAAGGAAUUUUUCUCAUAGCACUUAAUUGGCUGAAAAGUGCUAGAGUUUUCGCCUUCCUCUGGAGUACCAUUAUCUGUGUUGGUCAACAGAUUUGCUAGGGUCAGCUGCGGCUAGGCAUCAGUGCAGCUCUAGGUCUACGAAUUGGUUACA